rnacentral:tRNA from 1 species
AAGGUUUUAAGUUAACUAAACUAGUAACCUUCAAAGUUCCCAACAAGAGUAUAAAUCUCUUAAACCUUA